AUUUAAAUAAUUUAAUUAAAAAUUUUGAUUUGUGGGGUCAACUUUAUAGAUAAAUCUAUUUUAAAUA
rnacentral:tRNA from 1 species